UAAGCGACUAAGCGUACACGGUGGAUGCCCUGGCAGUCAGAGGCGAUGAAGGACGUGCUAAUCUGCGAUAAGCGUCGGUAAGGUGAUAUGAACCGUUAUAACCGGCGAUUUCCGAAUGGGGAAACCCAGUGUGAUUCGUCACACUAUCAUUAACUGAAUCCAUAGGUUAAUGAGGCGAACCGGGGGAACUGAAACAUCUAAGUACCCCGAGGAAAAGAAAUCAACCGAGAUUCCCCCAGUAGCGGCGAGCGAACGGGGAGGAGCCCAGAGCCUGAAUCAGUGUGUGUGUUAGUGGAAGCGUCUGGAAAGGCGCGCGAUACAGGGUGACAGCCCCGUACACAAAAAUGCACAUGCUGUGAGCUCGAUGAGUAGGGCGGGACACGUGGUAUCCUGUCUGAAUAUGGGGGGACCAUCCUCCAAGGCUAAAUACUCCUGACUGACCGAUAGUGAACCAGUACCGUGAGGGAAAGGCGAAAAGAACCCCGGCGAGGGGAGUGAAAAAGAACCUGAAACCGUGUACGUACAAGCAGUGGGAGCACGCUUAGGCGUGUGACUGCGUACCUUUUGUAUAAUGGGUCAGCGACUUAUAUUCUGUAGCAAGGUUAACCGAAUAGGGGAGCCGAAGGGAAACCGAGUCUUAACUGGGCGUUAAGUUGCAGGGUAUAGACCCGAAACCCGGUGAUCUAGCCAUGGGCAGGUUGAAGGUUGGGUAACACUAACUGGAGGACCGAACCGACUAAUGUUGAAAAAUUAGCGGAUGACUUGUGGCUGGGGGUGAAAGGCCAAUCAAACCGGGAGAUAGCUGGUUCUCCCCGAAAGCUAUUUAGGUAGCGCCUCGUGAAUUCAUCUCCGGGGGUAGAGCACUGUUUCGGCAAGGGGGUCAUCCCGACUUACCAACCCGAUGCAAACUGCGAAUACCGGAGAAUGUUAUCACGGGAGACACACGGCGGGUGCUAACGUCCGUCGUGAAGAGGGAAACAACCCAGACCGCCAGCUAAGGUCCCAAAGUCAUGGUUAAGUGGGAAACGAUGUGGGAAGGCCCAGACAGCCAGGAUGUUGGCUUAGAAGCAGCCAUCAUUUAAAGAAAGCGUAAUAGCUCACUGGUCGAGUCGGCCUGCGCGGAAGAUGUAACGGGGCUAAACCAUGCACCGAAGCUGCGGCAGCGACGCUUAUGCGUUGUUGGGUAGGGGAGCGUUCUGUAAGCCUGUGAAGGUGUGCUGUGAGGCAUGCUGGAGGUAUCAGAAGUGCGAAUGCUGACAUAAGUAACGAUAAAGCGGGUGAAAAGCCCGCUCGCCGGAAGACCAAGGGUUCCUGUCCAACGUUAAUCGGGGCAGGGUGAGUCGACCCCUAAGGCGAGGCCGAAAGGCGUAGUCGAUGGGAAACAGGUUAAUAUUCCUGUACUUGGUGUUACUGCGAAGGGGGGACGGAGAAGGCUAUGUUGGCCGGGCGACGGUUGUCCCGGUUUAAGCGUGUAGGCUGGUUUUCCAGGCAAAUCCGGAAAAUCAAGGCUGAGGCGUGAUGACGAGGCACUACGGUGCUGAAGCAACAAAUGCCCUGCUUCCAGGAAAAGCCUCUAAGCAUCAGGUAACAUCAAAUCGUACCCCAAACCGACACAGGUGGUCAGGUAGAGAAUACCAAGGCGCUUGAGAGAACUCGGGUGAAGGAACUAGGCAAAAUGGUGCCGUAACUUCGGGAGAAGGCACGCUGAUAUGUAGGUGAAGUCCCUCGCGGAUGGAGCUGAAAUCAGUCGAAGAUACCAGCUGGCUGCAACUGUUUAUUAAAAACACAGCACUGUGCAAACACGAAAGUGGACGUAUACGGUGUGACGCCUGCCCGGUGCCGGAAGGUUAAUUGAUGGGGUUAGCGCAAGCGAAGCUCUUGAUCGAAGCCCCGGUAAACGGCGGCCGUAACUAUAACGGUCCUAAGGUAGCGAAAUUCCUUGUCGGGUAAGUUCCGACCUGCACGAAUGGCGUAAUGAUGGCCAGGCUGUCUCCACCCGAGACUCAGUGAAAUUGAACUCGCUGUGAAGAUGCAGUGUACCCGCGGCAAGACGGAAAGACCCCGUGAACCUUUACUAUAGCUUGACACUGAACAUUGAGCCUUGAUGUGUAGGAUAGGUGGGAGGCUUUGAAGUGUGGACGCCAGUCUGCAUGGAGCCGACCUUGAAAUACCACCCUUUAAUGUUUGAUGUUCUAACGUUGACCCGUAAUCCGGGUUGCGGACAGUGUCUGGUGGGUAGUUUGACUGGGGCGGUCUCCUCCUAAAGAGUAACGGAGGAGCACGAAGGUUGGCUAAUCCUGGUCGGACAUCAGGAGGUUAGUGCAAUGGCAUAAGCCAGCUUGACUGCGAGCGUGACGGCGCGAGCAGGUGCGAAAGCAGGUCAUAGUGAUCCGGUGGUUCUGAAUGGAAGGGCCAUCGCUCAACGGAUAAAAGGUACUCCGGGGAUAACAGGCUGAUACCGCCCAAGAGUUCAUAUCGACGGCGGUGUUUGGCACCUCGAUGUCGGCUCAUCACAUCCUGGGGCUGAAGUAGGUCCCAAGGGUAUGGCUGUUCGCCAUUUAAAGUGGUACGCGAGCUGGGUUUAGAACGUCGUGAGACAGUUCGGUCCCUAUCUGCCGUGGGCGCUGGAGAACUGAGGGGGGCUGCUCCUAGUACGAGAGGACCGGAGUGGACGCAUCACUGGUGUUCGGGUUGUCAUGCCAAUGGCACUGCCCGGUAGCUAAAUGCGGAAGAGAUAAGUGCUGAAAGCAUCUAAGCACGAAACUUGCCCCGAGAUGAGUUCUCCCUGACUCCUUGAGAGUCCUGAAGGAACGUUGAAGACGACGACGUUGAUAGGCCGGGUGUGUAAGCGCAGCGAUGCGUUGAGCUAACCGGUACUAAUGAACCGUGAGGCUUAACCU
rnacentral:rRNA from 1 species